rnacentral:rRNA from 1 species
UACGAAGGGGGCUAGCGUUGCUCGGAAUUACUGGGCGUAAAGGGCGCGUAGGCGGCACUGUUAGUCAGGCGUGAAAGUCCUGGGCUCAACCUGGGAACUGCGCUUGAUACGGCAGAGCUAGAGGAUGGAAGAGGGUCGCGGAAUUCCCAGUGUAGAGGUGAAAUUCGUAGAUAUUGGGAAGAACACCGAUGGCGAAGGCAGCCCCCUGGGUCAAGACUGACGCUCAUGCACGAAAGCGUGGGGAGCAAACAGG